rnacentral:ncRNA from 1 species
AAUAUAUUUUAUUAUAGUAAUAAAAUUUAUUAAUUAAAUAUUUUAUAUGUAAAUUUUUGUAUGAAAAAAUAUUAUUUAAAAAAUAAAAUAAUUUAUUUGCAGUAAUUAAUUUUAUUAAUUUAAGAAAUUGAGAUUUAGUAAUUUAAUUUAAUAUAGGUUUAUUUUGUGCCAGCAAUCGCGGUUAUACAAAAUAUAUAAAUAAAUUAUAUUAAAAAAAGUUAAAUAAUUAAUUUAUUAAAUUAAAUUAUAUAUUAUAUUAUUAAGUGAAAUUUUAAUAUAAUAAAAAUUUAAUUAACUAAAAAAUUUAUCUUAUAAAUUUUAUAAUAAACUAGGAUUAGAUACCCUAUUAUUAAAAGAUAAAUAAUUUUUUAGAUUAGUAUUAAAUAUAUUUAUGAAAUUAAAAUAAUUUGGCGGUAUUUUAGUCUAUUUAGAGGAAUUUGUUUUAUAAUUGAUAGUCCUCAUUAUAUUUUACUUAUUUUAUUAAAUUUGUAUAUCGUUGUCAUUAGAAUAUUUUAUAAGAAAAAUAAUUUUCUUAAAUUAAAUUAUAAUUUUAUGUCAAAUCAAGGUGCAGUUUAUAUUUAAGAAAAAAUGAAUUACAAUAAUUUAUAAUUAUUAUGGAUUAAAAAUUGAAAUAUUUUUUUGAAGGUGGAUUUAAUAGUAAAUUUAAUAAGAAUGUUAAAUUGAUUUUAGCUCUAAAAUAUGUACAUAUCGCCCGUCGCUCUUAUUAUUAAAAUAAGAUAAGUCGUAACAAAGUAGAAUUACUGGAAAGUGUUUCUAGAUAA